AGAUAACUAUGGCUAUUGCAAGGAGGUAGCAGCUGUGACUCGUCUUGGCAUUGAGGUUGCAAUAGUAGUUGGUGGGGGUAACAUCUUCCGU